ACCCUUGCAGCAAAAUUCGUUCAGUUAAUUUUCUUUGGAUCUUUCCAUGUUGCACCCUCCAGAUGGAUCACAGGAGCCCAUCCGUCCUGCCUGAAAACCUCGCAACCCCUGAGAAGCAUGUUCAGACGGGUUGAAAAUCAGGGCUAUUUGGGGAUCACGUUUUUAGCGGCUCAGAAGGCAGGAUUUGGUUUGUCCUUCCCCCGUGGGCAGCAGAGGGAGCCCUCGUUCUACACAACGCUGCUCCCAGGAAUAGAUAAUUUCCUCUGCAAACUGGGCAGUUCCAAAUGCAAAAGCAUGAAAGGAUGGACCAAGGUUCUUCAGAAUCAGCUCAAGGUGUGCUGAGAAGGCCCGAGAUGACCCCAGAGAGCUUUGGCUGUUCCACACCCCUGGGAGCUGUUCUGGGAGAGAGGAGUGGAGCAAGACAGAAGGGAAUAUCGGAACUGUAUUAUGAGGAGAGGAAAGCAGGGGAC
rnacentral:lncRNA from 1 species